AAGACCUUGCACUUUUGGAGCGGCCGAUGUCUGAUUAGCUAGUUGGUGGGGUAAUGGCCUACCAAAGCUUCGAUCAGUAGCUGGUCUGAGAGGACGGCCAGCCACACUGGGACUGAGACACGGCCCAGACUCCUACGGGAGGCAGCAGUGGGGAAUUUUGGACAAUGGGCGCGAGCCUGAUCCAGCCAUGCCGCGUGAGUGAAGAAGGCCUUCGGGUUGUAAAGCUCUUUCAGCCGGGAAGAAAAGGUUGCGACUAAUAAUCGCAAUCCAUGACGGUACCGAAAGAAGAAGCACCGGCUAACUACGUGCCAGCAGCCGCGGUAAUACGUAGGGUGCGAGCGUUAAUCGGAAUUACUGGGCGUAAAGGGUGCGCAGGCGGUUUUGUAAGUCAGAUGUGAAAUCCCCGGGCUUAACCUGGGAACU
rnacentral:rRNA from 1 species